rnacentral:rRNA from 1 species
CCACCUGACCCCAUGCCGAACUCAGAAGUGAAACGCCGUAGCGCCGAUGGUAGUGUGGGGUCUCCCCAUGCGAGAGUAGGGAAUUGCCAGGC